rnacentral:lncRNA from 1 species
GUGGGAGAGCAUAGGGAUGGUCUUGAGGAACAGGGCUGUACUAGUGGUACUCUAGAAGAGAGGGUCUCUCAAGAAGUGAAGGAAACCGACACCGCCUCCAUAUCUGCCCAACAAAGCACUGUCGAAAAAAGGAGAAGGCUUUCCAAGCCCAAACCCAGUCUGAGCCGGGCAGCACAGUCCAUCCACAGACCUCUGAAUGUACAGAAGACAGAUUUUAGUGAAAAUACCCCGUAUUUCAAACAUGACUCAGUGCAGCUGCAGUGUAGCAGUCCUGUGGAAGUCCAAGUGAAGAAUACCCCAAAUGAAUGCCUCGAAGAAGAGCACAGGGACCGUCCUGAGAAAGAGAGCACAUGUAGUGUCACUCCAGAAGAGAACGGCCCUCAGGAAGUUCAGGUGAGAGAAUUUGUGACAGGAGUGUCUUCAGUGUGUGCUCUGAUCAUGUGACGGAAAACCCAAACAUACAAAAUAUUUGACUUGCAGUGAGUUGUUUUCUUCUUUAAUGCCUUUUUGGAGGUCCAGGAUGAUGAAGCAGAAACCACUGUAGAUGAUCUUCCUUCCUUAACAUCAGUUGGAAGUCCUCCAGGAGCGAGUAAGAUUUUACCCAUCCUUGAGAUGCCCCAGGUUCUUGACACCACACCAUCAGAUGAAGGUGCAACACCUUUUUUCAGACAUCAAAAACUAAUAAUUAAGUGCUUAACUUGGUUUGCAGCAGAUCCCAAAAGUUAAAAAAUCUGUGACUUUUACAGAUGUGCCUGAAAGAAGAAGAGAAUUUGAUAGGUCUCCAUCGCAGACGUCUGAGAAUGAAGAUCUAAUUACUGAUCAGAAGGAGGAAGAUUCAGAGCCUGUUGCAUCUGAAGUCACAGACGUCAUGAUUGAGGAAUCUCAGACAGAGCUGAAGAGGAUUUUUCCAGUCAGCUGUUCUGUGGAUGGUUCCUCAGUUUAUACUCAAGAUGAUAUUGCCCCAGAGAGAGACAGUCAGUUUGCUAAGCAAACACCCAACCUAGAAGGGACAUCCCCAGUCAUGAUCAGCCCUCAGCAGACCUCAGAGCCUAAAGAAGAUCCUUCUGAAAAGCCAGAACCUCAGAGUCCUGUUCAAGCCCAGCACAGUAAUUUGGAUCAUGACUUAGAGAACAUCUCCAGAGAAGAUAAGAUUUUGUCAUCUGAGGUGGAUUUACAGGGAUGUAAACUGGAUGAGGAUCUUCUGUCUCCUGUCCCAUUACUUAGCUCAACACAAACUUUAUCCGCAAAAGUUCUUGUGGACGGCACUGAUAAAAGAAAUACAGAACCAAAUGACCAAGUUCUCAGUGAUGCUUCAUCAGCACCAUUUGAAGCACACAGUCUGGUUUCAUCUUUUUCUGAUCCUCCCAAUGAACAUGCAAGCACCCUGUGUGAUAUGGACACGAUGCAGUUUGGCAAGUGUGCAGCUGAAGACAUCCAAAUACCAGACGAGCAGGAUUCUGGAAAGCAAGAUUGCACAGAAGAGCCAUCAGAAGCUUCUGAGGAAUGCAGUGCCCCUCUGAAUCAAAAUUCAAAAUCUGACAUUUCAGAUUCAGCUGGAGUGGAUACAGGUGCAGUUGAUAAAUAUUCUGAGGAGGAGCCCACCUUUAUUUUAACUCUAUAUGAGAUUCCAGCCUCUCAGCUAUUUCACGAGGCUGCCUUUGGGCAGCAGGGUACUCCCCGUUAUGAACUGCAGCCAGCACAAUUCCAAACAACCUCACUGUUGUCGAGCAGUUCACAUUUUCAUUCUGUCACAUUAGAGGCUUCCAGUGCAUCUCUGCAUAUGGCAUCAGAAGAGACCAGUAAUCCAUGUAAAAGUAGCUCGCACAAGUUAGUGGAUGACUCCAUGGAUCCUCUUUUAAAGGAUGCAGUAGAUGGUGCCAGGACACAAUUGAUAUCCUCACAGGAAUGCAGUCGUGAUGAUGUGACCUCUUUAAUUGGUCCACCCACGAUGUUCUCCUGUAAUUCUGUCAUGCCAACAGAUGUGCCAAAGUUGGAUGAGAUCCUGACAGAAUCCCCAGGAACUAAAGCUCCCACUCAAAGGAGAUGCAAGAUAAAGGUCAAGCCAAACCUAAAGCCAGGUGUGAAGGUUGGGCCUUCAAAAAAUGGCCAGUUUGACUGUGCACCCAGUCAGUAUCUACCACCAUCUCAAGCCACAGCACAAACUGAGAUUGAGUCCAACCAGAAAACAUCUGCACAAGAAACAGUUGGUGCUAAAAUCCAAUCAAGCCCUGAAGACAGUGAGAGAAGAGCACAUCUUGGACCUGACGCCGUGAUAUCAACAGCCAUUGUGCCAGUCUCUGAAAAUAUGAGCGAUGAGAGUCCAAUGAAAUGGGAAAGUCCUCUCAGAAAAGAGCUCCAGACAGAUGAGGACUCUGUUGUUGACCCUCCAGUGAGUCAGAGGCUGUUCUGUUGA